rnacentral:lncRNA from 1 species
ACUAGAUUAGCUUCAACUUGGCAUCUAAGGAUCUAUGUUAGAGUGAUGCCACAGAGGUAUCCAUAGUCCCAAUAGAAUUUUCUUCUUGAGAAUAGGACCAGUUUCAAUUUUGUAUUUGUAUCCCUAGCUACUGUAAUAACGCCUGUUAUAUUGUAGGUCCUUAAUACAUUCUUAUUAAGUGAUUGCCUGACACUUCAGAGGUUUCCUCACUACAUUCCUCCAAGCUGGAACAUUUACAACUUCUGACAGCAAUAGAAGAAGGAAUUCCCCAUAUGUCCUGCCAGCCCCUGAGAAUGUCCUUCCCCAGUCUAAUUAUUGGGUACCACCCUCCUUUCCUGAGGUAGAAUACAACAGCCAGUCAUGUGAGAAGCUUCAAGAAAAUUUAAAUGCCUCCUUGCCCUCAAAUACCUUCCCACUGACCUGCCACAGUGCUCAAGACUCCAACCAGUAAAGAAGUGAUUCUUUUGUAUUAAAUCACUGACAAAAAGAAAGGCUUCAUAUACCCCAAGAUAUUUAAAGUAACUUUUUUGUGGAAGUAAAGAACUAGAAAAAAAGUAGGUGCCUCUUAACUGAGAUAUGGCCAAACAAAUUAUGACAUAUUAAUGAAAUAUUACUGCAAUGUAAGAAACUACAAAUAUGCUGAAUACAGAAAAUUGUGGAAAAAUUUUAUAUGAAC